UAGCCUGCAGAAGACGGCAGAACGACGCAUCUUGAUAACCUUGUCUUGUCAGUUUACUGCCCCAGGAGACCCCAGGCUCUCUGGACCCCCAGGCCCCCUUCCUAAGCAUUCUGCCCUCUCCUUGCCUUGACCGAGGAGACGGAGAAUCCAGGAGCACACUGCCUGCCCUGUCCCAACCCCACUCUUCCUGCCCAGGUCUGGAAGACGCACCCCUUCCCAUCACUCACCCGUCUCCAUUGGUGUCAGUGGCAGCCACAGCAUAGCCAAAGUAGGAGGCCAUCUGUGGGGACAAAGGACAGCGGGAGGUCAGAACGAGGUGCAGUUGGUAAACAGCACCGAGGGGACCUGUGAGAGGAAGCUCAGUGGUUCUAGAGAAAGCGGGAAGUUGGACAUUAUUGGUCCAGGGCUGCGGCUUAGUUGGCAAGAGGGCCAACCUGCAGUAAGCGAGGAUGUCCUCACCUGCUCUCCUGAGACAUUGUAGAGGGAGUGGAUGUCUGAGCCGUUAAGGAUGGUGACCUGAAGAUGAAGAGAAAGGCCUAUUGGUCCUGGAUGCCCAUGGUCGAAGAUCGGGACACAUGGGACAGGCAUUCUUCUGGGGCACCUAAGCACUCCUCUGACCCCUUCCCUACCUGCCCUCCCCACACCUCCAGGGUUUCUCUGUCCCCUUGCUGUUUUGCCUUCUUCCUUCGUCUUUCUUAAGGAUUUUCAUCUCUACCCAGUAGAUUCUGGUGACUAAAAUAUAAGAUCAGUGGGACUACCAGAUUUCUCACUACACUGGGAGCAUGGUCUUGGUUUUUUGCUUCUCAGAGACUAAAGAAGAGCUUGGCAAGAACAGGGCUACAGUGGGGAAGACCAUCACGAGUGGACAGUGCCUAGGAAGGACACAGAGGCCUAAGAGCAGUGACUCCGUCAAGAUGAAGCUGUGUGUCUCACCCGCAUACUUGUCUCAUCUCUCACCUCGCCUUAAUAAAUGGUAUUAACCUAA